AAACCAUGGUAUGAGCAAUAUCUCAGUAAGUCCUUGUACCUCUCCCACGCAUUAUACAUGCUCUCAUCAUCAAACUACAUAAAAGAAGAAAUAUCAUUACCCAUCUU
rfam:Ricinus communis cultivar Hale ctg_1100012360279, whole genome shotgun sequence.